GGGGCUGUAGCUCAGUGGCAGAGCACUUGCCUAGCAUGUGUGAGGCACUGGGUUCAAUCCUCAGCACCA
rfam:Ictidomys tridecemlineatus contig013083, whole genome shotgun sequence.